UGCCCAGCAACUCCUAUCCCUACCUCCACGCGGUACCGGUCGGAAACUAUGAGUAACCUUAGGGAAGAUCGGAUAACCAACCCCGGUGGGACCUUUGGUCGUAGGCUGACAGGGAAGG
rnacentral:ribozyme from 1 species